rnacentral:rRNA from 1 species
AACGAACGCUGGCGGCAUGCCUAACACAUGCAAGUCGAACGAGUGCCUUCGGGUGCUAGUGGCGCACGGGUGAGUAACGCGUGGGAACCUGCCUUUCGGUACGGGAUAACGUCGGGAAACUGACGCUAAUACCGUAUAUGUCUUUGGAUGAAAGAUUUAUCGCCGGAAGAGGGGCCCGCGUCUGAUUAGGUAGUUGGUGAGGUAACGGCUCACCAAGCCUUCGAUCAGUAGCUGGUCUGAGAGGAUGAUCAGCCACACUGGGACUGAGACACGGCCCAGACCCCUACGGGAGGCAGCAGUGGGGAAUUUUGGACAAUGGGGGCAACCCUGAUCCAGCCAUGCCGCGUGAGUGAAGAAGGCCUUCGGGUUGUAAAGGCUCUUUCGGCCGGGAAGGAAAUCGUAUCAGCUAAUACCUGGUGCGGAUGACGGUACCGGCAUAAGAAGCACCGGCUAACUACGUG